rnacentral:rRNA from 1 species
GAUGAACGCUGGCGGCGUGCUUAACACAUGCAAGUCGAACGGUGAAGGCGGAGCUUGCUCUGCUGGAUCAGUGGCGAACGGGUGAGUAACACGUGAGCAAUCUGCCCCUGACUCUGGGAUAAGCGCUGGAAACGGCGUCUAAUACUGGAUACGAGCUGCGAAGGCAUCUUCAGCAGCUGGAAAGAACUUCGGUCAGGGAUGAGCUCGCGGCCUAUCAGCUUGUUGGUGAGGUAACGGAUCACCAAGGCGUCGACGGGUAGCCGGCCUGAGAGGGUGACCGGCCACACUGGGACUGAGACACGGACCAGACUCCUACGGGAGGCAGCAGUGGGGAAUAUUGCACAAUGGGCGAAAGCCUGAUGCAGCAACGCCGCGCGAGGGACGACGGCCUUCGGGGUGUAAACCUCUUUUAGCAGGGAAGAAGCGAAAGUGACGGUACCUGCAGAAAAAGCGCCGGCUAACUACGUG